GAUGAACGCUGGCGGCGUGCUUAAUACAUGCAAGUCGAGCGAAAGGACGAGACGUUUGUUGUUCUGCUAUUAGCGGCGGGCGGGUGAGGAACGAGUGGAGAACCUACCUAUUAGCCGGGGAUAACUUCGAGAAACUGGAAAUGAUAGCGAAUAAUAUUUUGUACCGAUUGGUUCAUGAGUAAAAGUCGGUAUUUCUGUCAGUACUAGAUGGAUCUGCGCUGCAUUAGCUAGUUGGUGAGGUAACGGCUUACCUAGGCGACGAUGCAUAGCCGACCUGAGAGGGUGAUCGGCCACACUGGAACUGAGACACGGUCCAGACUCCUACGGGAGGCAGCAGUAGGGAAUCUUCCGCAAUGGGCGAAAGUCUGACCGAGCAACGCCGCGUGAGUGAUGAAGGUCUUCGGAUCGUAAAGCUCUGUUAUAAGGGAAGAACAUAUGUGUAAGUAGCUGUUGACAUCUUGACGGUAACUAAUCAAGAAGCCACGGCUAACUACGUG
rnacentral:rRNA from 1 species